UACAGAGGGGGCAAGCGUUGUUCGGAAUCACUGGGCGUAAAGCGCACGUAGGCGGAUUGUUAAGUCGGGGGUGAAAUCCUGGAGCUCAACUCCAGAACUGCCUUCGAUACUGGCGAUCUUGAGUCCGGGAGAGGUGAGUGGAACUCCGAGUGUAGAGGUGAAAUUCGUAGAUAUUCGGAAGAACACCAGUGGCGAAGGCGGCUCACUGGCCCGGUACUGACGCUGAGGUGCGAAAGCGUGGGGAGCAAACAGG
rnacentral:rRNA from 1 species